UACGUAGGGCGCAAGCGUUGUCCGGAAUUAUUGGGCGUAAAGAGCUCGUAGGCGGUUUGUCGCGUCUGCUGUGAAAACUCGAGGCUCAACCUCGGGCUUGCAGUGGGUACGGGCAGACUAGAGUGCGGUAGGGGUGACUGGAAUUCCUGGUGUAGCGGUGGAAUGCGCAGAUAUCAGGAGGAACACCGAUGGCGAAGGCAGGUCACUGGGCCGCAAACUG
rnacentral:rRNA from 1 species